UACGAAGGGGGCUAGCGUUGUUCGGAAUUACUGGGCGUAAAGCGCGCGCAGGCGGCUCAUCAAGUCAGGGGUGAAAUCCCGGAGCUCAACUCCGGAAUUGCCUUUGAAACUGGUGGGCUUGAGGACGGAAGAGGUGAGUGGAAUUCCCAGUGUAGAGGUGAAAUUCGUAGAUAUUGGGAAGAACACCGGUGGCGAAAGCGGCUCACUGGUCCGUUUCUGACGCUCAGGCGCGACAGCGUGGGGAUCAAACAGG
rnacentral:rRNA from 1 species